UUUCACACGGUAUCUCCCAAUUCAUUAGAUAAGAAUUAAUCUAUCGCAGAUCAAAAUUUCAUUUAAAAAUUUAUUGUUGAUCAAUAAAUUAUUACAUAUACAAAGAGAUUGAAAUCUCUAAUACUACCUUAAACAGAUUAAUGAAUUAAUUACAAAACAACCCUAAGUUAAUCAUACAUAUAAAAAGAUAAUGAGCGAGUUUAGGUUUUAUUUAAAAAGGUGACUAAUGACAUAAAGACAAAAACUAAAAGACAAAAAAUAAAUUAAACCUCUAUAUGGUGUUUGUAAUAAAAUUACUUGAUAUUUUGUAUGAUUUAAAAUAAAUAUAAAGGCUAAAGCAAAUAAAAUUUCUUAGCCCGUCCACCUUUUCUCAUUUCUCUUUUGUCACAUACCUCACCUUCCCCUCUUAACCCAGCUUUGCUGCAGAACGUCUUUCCCACCAUCGUGGUUCCCAGCCCUGGUGAGAAGCUGUUGGAGCACUACAUGCUCAAUUCGGAGCUUGAUGCUUUCAACGAGUCUCUAAUGUUCGACGAUUUUUUGGUGAUUCCCAAAGAGCAGGGCAUGUGUGUUUGAUUUCCCUCCUCUUUGGAGUUCUUGUUAUCAUUCUUGCGUGCUCAAGGGUUACUGGGUAAUAAUGUGAUGUGUGGGAAAAAGAUCAAAACAUGGAGAAUGGAGCGAAUUGGAGUUUCCUCAAGAAGAAAAGGGGACCAUGCUGGCUGGAGAAUUAGGGGACGAUGGCUGGGAGGUUGAUGAUCUCCGAUGAGGAAUAGUAGUGGAAGAAGGUUGAGAGUUGUUUAAUAUGUAAGAGACAGAUAAAAAUAUGUUUAAAUUUUUUGUAUUUAUAUUUAUGUUUUCACCAAACAAGAUAUAUAGAAACUUUUUCAUAUCUGUCUCUAGUAUUUUAGUUUCUAUCUCUUUAUUUUUGUAUUUCUGUCUGAAGAUAUAAUUCAAAUAGUGUCAAAUUGUAUGUGUUUGUUAAAAGUAAAUGUCAAUUGCUAAUGGUAAUCUUGCAUUAGUUAAUUAUAAGCUAGGUUUGAUAUGUAAAGUAAUCUUACCUCCAACCGGGAAUGUAAACUUUCAUUAUAAUUUCCAUUGUAAGUUUAAGCUGUUCUUUUUGAAGUUCAAAUAUUCGUAUUCCUUCUUCGUAACUACUUCCAAAUGCUGCGCGAGAAAUGACAUCACUGGCCAGAUUUUGAAGAAAAGGCCACACGUCAAUUUCACAGGGUUGAUUAUUCUUCUAUGUUUGCUCCACUUCUCACCCUCAUGACCAGCAAGACCAUUAACCAAUAACUUGAUCAAUGGAUUUGUAUCUGGCUUCGGAAAAUCAUAGACCUUGUUGAAUACAUCUUUGAUUAGCUCAGGAUCUGUGACAAUCACCCUUGGUAUUCCUCCAAACCAGAAAAAAGAAUUCUUCCCUGUAUAAUACAAAGGACUGUAUAAGAAUUAUUUUGUUAGAGAAAUAGUUACUAGUAGAUAUUUAUGCCACUUAAGUGGGUUUUGUAUAAAAUGCUAAUCUACAAUGUAAAAAUGUGAACUUUUAUUCUAUAGCUACUUGAAUCAGUUUUAACUUUUAACACCAACACUUCAUUAUUCAGAGCUCUCUAUCUUUCUCUUUCUCUUUCCUCAGUUUCUCUCAUAUCAAAUUUUGGUAAGAAAAAAAUUUCUAAAUUAGACAAAAAUAUGAGUCCUUAAAAAGUCUCUUUAUAUAGAUAAACAAUCUGACGUAGGAAUGACUUGUUUAACGAAAUAAAAUUUUAAUGACUGUGUUAAAUCAAAGAUGUAACUAUCUCCUUUGAAAUUUAAUUAAGGAUCCAAGUGUUUACCACAUCAUUAACACACUGCCAACUUUCAGAUUGUUCUAGUGAAUGAAUUUUUUGAAGCUUCUUAGAGCAAAAGUGAAAGAAUUUCUUUUGAUACCAUGUUAAUUCAGAGAGUUGGAGAAAUGAAUGAUGGAAAAACCAAUGAAUUUCAUUGAGUUCUUUCUGGUUUAUAUACAAGAAAUGAGAAGAACUUGCUUACUUGGUUUAACAAGCUAAGUAACAUAACUAACUUCAACUAAAUUCUCAACUAACUAACUUGCCUUACCAAUUAAAUAUAUCAGGUGCUAACAAUCUGAUUUUGUGAUUAACAUUUAUUGAUUAUUAAAGUAUUUGACUAGAAUUUCUUAAAAACUGAUUUGAGAUAUUAAUUGUAUAUUAAAGAUAGUAAUAUUUUUUUUUAUUUUUCUUUCUAUUUUCAAAUUAUGACAAAAUUCAUUGCACAGAACUCCAGAGUCCAGAGUAUGUCCAGAAUACGU